GAUGAACGCUAGCUACAGGCUUAACACAUGCAAGUCGAGGGGUAACGAGAGGAAAGCUUGCUUUCCUUGUCGACGACCGGCGCACGGGUGAGUAACGCGUAUCCAACCUGCCCCCAACUAGGGAAUAACCUUGCGAAAGUAAGACUAGUACCCUAUAAUUUCCUCAGAGUCAUCUGACGAGGAAUAAAGAUUUAUCGGUUGUGGAUGGGGAUGCGUCUGAUUAGCUUGUUGGCGGGGUAACGGCCCACCAAGGCAACGAUCAGUAGGGGUUCUGAGAGGAAGGUCCCCCACAUUGGAACUGAGACACGGUCCAAACUCCUACGGGAGGCAGCAGUGAGGAAUAUUGGUCAAUGGGCGGAAGCCUGAACCAGCCAAGUAGCGUGCAGGAUGACGGCCCUAUGGAUUGUAAACUGCUUUUAUACAGGAAUAAAGUUAGCCACGUGUGGUUAUUUGUAGGUACUGUAUGAAUAAGGACCGGCUAAUUCCGUGCCAGCAGCCGCCGUAA
rnacentral:rRNA from 1 species